UACAGAGGGUGCGAGCGUUAAUCGGAAUUACUGGGCGUAAAGCGUGCGUAGACGGUAGCGUAAGUCAGAUGUGAAAGCCCCGGGCUCAACCUGGGAAGUUGCAUUUGAGAUCUGCGCUGCUUCGGGUGCGGGAAGAGGGAAGCGGGAAUUUCCGGUGUAGCGGUUGAAAUGCGUAGAGUAAUCGGAAGGAACACCAGUGCGAAAGGCGGCUUCCUGGUCCGGAACACCGA
rnacentral:rRNA from 1 species